rnacentral:tRNA from 1 species
ACACUAAGGAUAUCUCCAUUUUUCGGCUUACAAGGAUGAUGCUUCUUUUUAGCUUUUAGUGC